GACGAACGCUGGCGGCGUGCCUAAUACAUGCAAGUAGAACGCACAGUUUAUACCGUAGCUUGCUACACCAUAGACUGUGAGUUGCGAACGGGUGAGUAACGCGUAGGUAACCUGCCUGGUAGCGGGGGAUAACUAUUGGAAACGAUAGCUAAUACCGCAUAAUAUUAAUUAUUGCAUGAUAAUUAAUUGAACGGUGCAAUUGCACCACUACCAGAUGGACCUGCGUUGUAUUAGCUAGUAGGUGAGGUAACGGCUCACCUAGGCGACGAUACAUAGCCGACCUGAGAGGGUGAUCGGCCACACUGAGACUGAGACACGGCCCAGACUCCUACGGGAGGCAGCAGUAGGGAAUCUUCGGCAAUGGACGAAAGUCUGACCGAGCAACGCCGCGUGAGUGAAGAAGGGUUUCGGAUCGUAAAGCUCUGUUGUAAGAGAAGAACGGGUGUGAGAGUGGAAAGUUCACACUGUGACGGUAGCUUACCAGAAAGGGACGGCUAACUACGUG
rnacentral:rRNA from 1 species